CCUACGGGUGGCAGCAGUCGAGAAUUAUUCACAAUGGGGGAAACCCUGAUGGGGCGACGCCGCGUGGGGGAAUGAAGGUCUUCGGAUUGUAAACCCCUGUCAUGUGGGAGCAAAUUAAAAAGAUAGUACCACAAGAGGAAGAGACGGCUAACUCUGUGCCAGCAGCCGCGGUAAUACAGAGGUCUCAAGCGUUGUUCGGAAGCACUGGGCGUAAAGGGUGCGUAGGCUGUUUCGUAAGACAGGUGUGAAAGGCGCGGGCUCAACCCGCGGACUGCACACGAGACUGCGGGACUCGAGUAAUGGAGGGGGAACCGGAAUUCUCGGUGUAGCAGUGAAAUGCGUAGAUAUCGAGAGGAACACUCGUGGCGAAGGCGGGUUCCUGGACAUUAACUGACGCUGAGGCACGAAGGCCAGGGGAGCGAAAGGGAUUAGAUACCCCGGUAGUC
rnacentral:rRNA from 1 species